AGCUAACGCAUUAAGUACUCCGCCUGGGAAGUACGCUCGCAAGAGUGAAACUCAAAGGAAUUGACGGGGACCCGCACAAGUAGCGGAGCAUGUGGUUUAAUUCGAAGCAACGCGAAGAACCUUACCUAAGCUUGACAUCCUUUUGACCGAUGCCUAAUCGCAUCUUUCCCUUCGGGGACAGAAGUGACAGGUGGUGCAUGGUUGUCGUCAGCUCGUGUCGUGAGAUGUUGGGUUAAGUCCCGCAACGAGCGCAACCCUUGCCUUUAGUUGCCAGCAUUAAGUUGGGCACUCUAGAGGGACUGCCAGGGAUAACCUGGAGGAAGGUGGGGAUGACGUCAAAUCAUCAUGCCCCUUAUGCUUAGGGCUACACACGUGCUACAAUGGGUGGUACAGAGGGCAGCCAAACCGUGAGGUGGAGCUAAUCCCUUAAAGCCAUUCUCAGUUCGGAUUGUAGGCUGAAACUCGCCUACAUGAAGCUGGAGUUACUAGUAAUCGCAGAUCAGAAUGCUGCGGUGAAUGCGUUCCCGGGUCUUGUACACACCGCCCGUCACACCACGGAAGUUGGGGGCGCCCGAAGCCGGAUAGCUAACCUUUUGGAAGCGUCCGUCGAAGGUGAAAUCAAUAACUGGGGUGAAGUCGUAACAAGGUAGCCGUAUCGGAAGGUGCGGCUGGAUCACCUCCUUUCUAAGGAGAAUUACCUACUGUUUAAUUUUGAGGGUUUUUAUUUUUUUUGUUAAAAAUGAAAAUUCUAUAUUGACAAUUUUCACAUAAGAUAGUAAAAUAUCUAAUGUUGAAAAGACAACUUGGGGGUGUAGCUCAGCUGGGAGAGCACUUGCCUUGCACGCAAGGGGUCAGGAGUUCGAUCCUCCUCAUCUCCACCAUUAGUACUUUGAAAACUGUAUAACAUUUAGUGAUAUGACAUCAUUUUUUAUAAAUAGACAAGAAAAGUCUUUAAAAUAACUUUAAGCAAUGGAAUAAACUGAGUGAAUACGAAGUUUGUUCAUUCGCGAUAGCUUUUUAAUAACUGGUCAAGUUAUUAAGGGUGCAGGGCGGAUGCCUUGGCACUAGGAGCCGAUGAAGGACGUGAUAAGCUGCGAUAAGCUUCGGGGAGUUGCACGUAAACUUUGAUCCGAAGAUUUCCGAAUGAGGAAACUCACUUAGAGUAAUGUCUAAGUAUCGUUAAGUGAAUACAUAGCUUAGCGAGGGGAACCCGGGGAACNGGUAUACGAGUGAGAAUGUUGGCAUGAGUAGCGAGACGUGGGUGAGAAUCCCACGGGCCGUAAACCCAAGGUUUCCAGGGGAAGGUUCGUCCGCCCUGGGUUAGUCGGGACCUAAGCCGAGGCCGAAAGGCGUAGGUGAUGGACAACAGGUUGAUAUUCCUGUACCACCAAUAACCGUUUGAGGAAUGGGAUGACACAGUAGGAUAAGCUAACCACACUGUUGGUUAUGUGUGGCUAAGUACUGAGGCAGUCAAGAUAGGCAAAUCCGUCUUGAUAAUGCUAGGGUACGAUGGGGAGCCCUUUUGGGCGAAGUAGCUGAUUUCACACUGUCGAGAAAAGUCUCUACCGAGGUUAAAGGUGCCCGUACCGUAAACCGACACAGGUGGGUGAGGAGAGUAUCCUAAGGCCAGCGAGAGAACUAUUGUUAAGGAACUCGGCAAAAUGACCCCGUAACUUAGGGAUAAGGGGUGCCAUCCUUUGGAUGGCCGCAGAGAAUAGGCCCAAGCGACUGUUUACCAAAAACACAGGUUUCUGCUAAGUCGCAAGACGAUGUAUAGGAGCUGACGCCUGCCCGGUGCUGGAAGGUUAAGGGGAUCUGUUAGGAGUAAUCCGAAGCAGUGAACUUAAGCCCCAGUAAACGGCGGCCGUAACUAUAACGGUCCUAAGGUAGCGAAAUUCCUUGUCGGGUAAGUUCCGACCCGCACGAAAGGCGUAACGAUUUGGGCACUGUCUCAACAAUAGACUCGGUGAAAUUGUAAUCCCGGUGAAGAUGCCGGGUACCUGCGACAGGACGGAAAGACCCCAUGGAGCUUUACUGUAGCUUGACGUUGGGUCUUGGUACUACAUGUACAGGAUAGGUGGGAGACUAUGAAGCAUGGACGCCAGUCUGUGUGGAGUCAUCCUUGGGAUACCACCCUUGUAGUACUGGGAUCCUAACCAGAGGCCUUGAAUCAGGUCUUGGGACACCGUCAGGUGGGCAGUUUGACUGGGGCGGUCGCCUCCCAAAAAGUAACGGAGGCGCUCAAAGGUUUCCUCAGCACGGUCGGAAAUCGUGCGAAGAGUGUAAAGGCAAAAGGAAGCUUGAUUGCAAGACAUACAGGUCGAGCAAGGACGAAAGUCGGACUUAGUGAUCCGGUGGUUCCGCAUGGAAGGGCCAUCGCUCAACGGAUAAAAGCUACCCUGGGGAUAACAGGCUUAUCUCCCCCAAGAGUCCACAUCGACGGGGAGGUUUGGCACCUCGAUGUCGGCUCAUCACAUCCUGGGGCUGUAGUAGGUCCCAAGGGUUGGGCUGUUCGCCCAUUAAAGUGGUACGCGAGCUGGGUUCAGAACGUCGUGAGACAGUUCGGUCCCUAUCCGUCGCAGGCGUAGGAAAUUUGAGGAGACCUGUCCUUAGUACGAGAGGACCGGGAUGGACGUACCUCUGGUGUACCAGUUGUUCUGCCAAGGGCAUGGCUGGGUAGCUAUGUACGGAAUGGAUAAGCGCUGAAAGCAUCUAAGCGCGAAGCCAACUUCAAGAUAAGAUUUCCCACCGUAAGGGUAAGACCCCAGGAAGACUACCUGGUUGAUAGGUCGAAGGUGUAAGUGCAGUAAUGUAUUUAGCUUAUCGAUACUAAUAGGUCGAGGACUUGACC
rnacentral:rRNA from 1 species